AGAGUUUGAGUCCUGGCGUCAGGAUGAACGCUGGCGGCGUGCUUAACACAUGCAAGUCAACGGGGUGCCUUGAAAGAGGAUUGUCCAAUUGAUAAGGUUACCUAGUGGUGGACGGGUAAGUAACGCGUGAGUAACCUGCCCUGGAUGGGGAAUAACAGCUGGAAACAGCUGCUAAUACCGCAUAAUGCAGUUGGGUCGCAUGGCUCUGACUGCCAAAGAUUUAUCGCUCUGGGAUGGACUCGCGUCUGAUUAGCUAGUUGUGGGGUAACGGCCCACCAAGGCGACGAUCAGUAGCCGGACUGAGAGGUUGGCCGGCCACAUUGGGACUGAGACACGGCCCAGACUCCUACGGGAGGCAGCAGCGGGGAAUAUUGGGCAAUGGGCGCAAGCCUGACCCAGCAACGCCGCGUGAAGGAAGAAGGCUUUCGGGUUGUAAACUUCUUUUGUCAGGGACGAAGCAAGUGACGGUACCUGACGAAUAAGCCACGGCUAACUACGUG
rnacentral:rRNA from 1 species